rnacentral:rRNA from 1 species
UACGGCAGCAGUGGGGAAUAUUGGACAAUGGGCGAAAGCCUGAUCCAGCCAUGCCGCAUGAGUGAAGAAGGCCUUCGGGUUGUAAAGCUCUUUUAGUGAGAAAGAUAAUGACGGUACUCACAGAAGAAGUCCUGGCUAACUCCGUGCCAGCAGCCGCGGUAAUACGGAGAGGGCUAGCGUUAUUCGGAAUUAUUGGGCGUAAAGAGCGCGUAGGCUGAUUAGUAAGUUAAAAGUGAAAUCCCAAAGCUUAACUUUGGAAUUGCUUUUUAAAACUGCUAGUCUAGAGAUUGAAAGAGGAUAGAGGAAUUCCUAGUGUAGAGGUGAAAUUCGUAAAUAUUAGGAGGAACACCAGUGGCGAAGGCGUCUAUCUGGUUCAAAUCUGACGCUGAGGCGCGAAGGGCGUGGGGAGCAAACAGGGAUUAGAUACC